GACUGGGUAGCUCAGUUACUGAUGGUAGAGCAUCAGACUUUGAAUUUGAGGGUCCAGGGUUCAAGUCCCGGUUCAGGUGCU